GAUCAUGGCUCAGGACGAACGCUGGCGGCGUGCCUAACACAUGCAAGUCGAACGGAGAUGUUUAUUUCGGUAGACAUCUUAGUGGCGCACGGGUGAGUAACGCGUGAAUAACCUGACCCGAAGAGGGGGAUAACACCUGGAAACAAGUGCUAAUACCGCAUAAUACCACGGACCGGCAUCGGUCAGAGGUCAAAGGAGGAAUCCGCUUUGGGAGGGGUUCGCGUCCCAUUAGGUAGUUGGUGAGGUAACGGCCCACCAAG
rnacentral:rRNA from 1 species